UCUGUUCAAGGUGGGGCUCACUGGGUGACCUGCGGACCCUCAUGACCCAGAACCAAAAGCUCCCCUGACACUGUCGGCUGCCAUGAGAUUCAGUGAGCGUCGGCCCUUCAGGCGGGGAGCACGGUCCGUCUGGGCAGAGGAGUGGUGGAGAUAAGACAGGGCAUGACCUCGACUCCAUGACAGCCAGCAAGCCCGCUCCAGGAACCCAACUGCCGUGACUCACAGCCCGCCAAUCAGGACGCCAGGCUGCCUGCCUUUUCCAGCCAAACACACCUGUAACCUGCCAGCCAUCUGUUGGGCCACACCCCUGCCCUAGCCGUUCCCGAGAGAAAUACAAACCUCUUUACAUGGCUUCAGCAGAGGACCCCCCCCCCCCCCUCAGCUCCCAAGAUCAAGGGCUUGUUCCAGGCCAGUCUGCAGACCCACAGACUCAGAUUGCUGGUUUGGACAGGAGAGAAAAAGACCUGGACCACCCAGCGUCCACAGUGAGGGUGGGACUCGGAGCAGCGUCUGGGCGCAGAGAGACCCCUGCACGGAAUCCAGUCGCUCCACCUCAGUGCCAGCCUGUGCCUGCCGCCGCCCAGACAGGUGCCACCCUGCGCAGGGGAGGGGUCGCGCCUCCCCGUCGGCUCCCCUCCACGCUCUUCUGGGCUGAGCCUGGCUGGC
ensembl:lncRNA